AAAAAGAUUUUGAAAAGAAGAGUAAUAAAAUUUCUUUAGCAAAGAGAACUUUUGGUUGGUGAGAAAAAGUGUAAAGGGUUUUAUGAACAUGGUCUUGGAGUUGCGGUAAUGAUAUGUAAUUACUGACGUGAACGCACGUUAUAGCGGAGAAAUAUGUUAGUAUUUCGUAAUGAGGCUUAGAUAGUAUUAAUAGUAACAUAAUAAUAUAUAUUUAAGUAAAUUAAGGUGGUACCACGAUUUAAUCGUCCUUAUC
rnacentral:ncRNA from 1 species